CGCAAAGUGCACUUUAGAAAUGCACAGAGGAGGGCGCCAACAUGUUAUAUAAUUCGUCAUCAAGUCCUACUUCUUCAUCGAGCGCAUCUUUAUCUUCGUACAAAUUGAGGAGAAAAAGUUAAACUCACCCUUGGAAGCAGUACGCGGUUGUGAGCAACCAAUUAUCUGCCACGAGAGUAGCAUCGCAAACAUGAACUCCCUCCUUGAAGAGUGCAACAUGCCACGGCCAAUCACCAGAGAAUUCAUACCGAGAUCGGAACAGCGGACAUACAGAACUUCUUUGCUAGGACAAGGAGCUCGGACAAAAGUGAUUUCCGGUGCUGAGGGAUCUUCCAUAUACACGUACGGGACGUCGUCUUCGUCAUCAAUUUUCACUUCAACGGAAGCUACGCCGCUGUACAGAAGAAUUGCAGGAAACGACAAUUUAACUUUGCUGCGUUUUUUUAGAUUAAAAAAAAAUUUUUUUUAAAGAAAAAUAGAAGAAAUGCUUACGUGUACGUGAGUAAAGUGCACAACGAGCUCGCUGCCGUUUGGAGAACGUUAUCCAUUUCUGUUUCUGGCAGAGUGGCGUUUAAAUUUGCCGUGCAAAGUUUGCCGAUGCUACCGGGACCGUCAUACUCUGGAAAGUUGGAGCAAUCCAAGGCGCGUUUUAUCUUCUCGGGGAGACGACUGCCGCAGCCACUC
rnacentral:lncRNA from 1 species